CAGCAGCCGCGGUAAAACGUAGGGCGCAAGCGUUGUCCGGAAUUAUUGGGCGUAAAGAGCUCGUAGGCGGUCUGUCGCGUCUGGUGUGAAAUCCCGAGGCUCAACCUCGGGCUUGCAUCGGGUACGGGCAGACUAGAGUGCGGUAGGGGAGACUGGAAUUCCUGGUGUAGCGGUGGAAUGCGCAGAUAUCAGGAGGAACACCGAUGGCGAAGGCAGGUCUCUGGGCCGCAACUGACGCUGAGGAGCGAAAGCAUGGGGAGCGAACAGGAUUAGAUACCCGAGUAGUCCCUGUCUCUUAUAC
rnacentral:rRNA from 1 species